rnacentral:lncRNA from 1 species
GUGGGGUGUUUGUUGUUCCUCAAUCGUUUCGAGUGUUUUUCUCCGGGUUAUGUGCUCGUCACAACACCUCCUCUAGUCGAGAGGGUGCUACAUCUUCCGAUUUGGAGUCACAACAACAACCACACUCUAUGGUGAUUGACACUGAGGAUGAGCCUGUUUUAGAGGCUGAUGAAGUGAUCCCGAAUAGACAUGAUCCAGGGGUUCAGGACUACCAUCGAUUCGUCCGCUACCUCACCGUUGAAGAGUGGAAGGUCUUUUGUAAGCGCUUUCACGGUUAUGAGCAAUUCCCUGCUACUAUCUUCGACCUUGAAGGAAUUCGAGCUCAAAAUCCCGACUAGGGACAUUGAGCAGAGACACUCCUUUGCGAAGCAGGUGUUUUGGAGCUUCUCACCCUUUCCGGUCCACCGAUGCCCGUUCCUCUACAAAAGUUCUAGAGCUCCUUCUCUUUUUAGACUAGGAAGGGUAAGGCGAAAUGGGAAGUGUGUCUCCUACUCUUUGGGCGGCUUGGACUUCCACGAAACAUUGGAUGAGUUUGCUUUUGCGCUUUGAUUCAUAGGGCCCUUCAAGGGGCUAUCCAUGCCUUACAUUUUUUCUUACAAAAGCCAAACUGCAAUUAACGAUGACAUUCAGAAGUAUUGGAAGAAAAUCACCAACGACGUUGAGAAAUGGGAUCCGGUGUCUGCAACCUUCACCCGGAUAUUAGAUCCCUUUCCUCAUCUCUUCCAUUUGGUUUGGCGCUAAAGUCUCUCAUGGAGAAACAUUAAGGGCGGCAUCGCUAAUCUUGUUUCAAAGGAUGAGAUGAUGUUCUACCAAGCAAUGAGGCAGCAGUGGCCACUCCACCCUGGCUAUGUGGUAGCUCCGUUCUUUCAUUCGAGAUGGAGCCGUUUGAGGAGGUUUCUACCAGGUGGUGCAUUUGUGGCGAGGAUCAUCAAGACGAAGGGCAUUCAUGGGAAUUAUGACAUCAUGAAAAUUUGGAGCCCUAAUCCACCCCUAGGAUGAUAGGACCUGACAUCAUUACAACGACACAGUUGGAUUUGUCUAACCAAUGGCUCACUCGGGCAGAGAUCGAUACAGCCCAUUAACGACACUUGAUUAGGCAGCCAGUAGAACCAUCCCCAUAGGUCUCCACCCGCACGAGAGGUGGUAGGAACCCUCGAUUUUUUAGCCCGAACACUGGGAGGAGGCUUCCCACCACCCCGAUCAGCAUGAGCUAGCUGCAGCAUAGGGUUUCCCAAUACCUGAGUUUUCUUCGAUGAGUGCUGGUUUCCCUCCACCCCAACCACCACCAAACAGAUACCAGCCGCCACCGACAGAGUUUGCUGAUAUGAUGCGGUCUGCCCAGCAAUGGAAGACCAACUUUGGGGAGAAUAGCCUCUCGUGGCAGCUGUAGUAGACAGCCUCGCAUAUGUCGUUCGACUCGGGGGAGCGAUCUUCUUAGAUUGAGCAGCGGAGAGACGAGCAAGAGCACCACAAUGAGCAGCUGCGCUACCUCUACUACCUCACUUAGUUUCACACCGUGUACUCAAGCCCGCCGCACUCACCUCCGCUAGACGACUACUAAUUGAGUAUUAUUAUUUGGACUUGUAGUUUUUUAUUUCUUUCUUUUCGAAUAUUUUAUCCACUUCAUUAAGUGUGGGUCUUGGACACUUGUCCUAGUCCCUUUUUACUUUUAUUUCUGGUUUUGUGUGUGUGUUGAGUGUUUCAGGGGUUAGUGUCGCGGUCGAGUAUGAACUCCUUGAGUUAUAUGUCCAGCAUCUUGGUUAUCUAUUAGCAUCCGCGUUUUCCUAUGCAACUUUUUCAUUUCACUCAGUGAGGACACUGUCCAAACUAAGUGUGGGUUGGGUUUGCAUAAGAUUUGUGUAUGUUAGUGUUGUUAGGGAACUGUCAUUCGUGUGAGUCCUAAGCUCAAGCUUGUUGGAACUUUCAUUGAAUCAAAUACUUGGCAUGCUUAGAAAACAUCCUUGUGAUUUGUGCACUUGAAUUGCUGAUUUGCUUGUGAACCUAGAUUUGAUAGAAGAAUAGGCCAAUGAACAAAGUCUAUUGAUUCAUUCUAUAGAGUUACUUUGAUGUGUUAAAGUAGCACGAAUUCUCCACCUUGAUGUGAACGAGCAUACAUGUUUUUGAAAUACUAUCUAACAAGAAAAUAUGAGGCCUAAAAGACCAUUAUGUAGUAUAGAUAAUCUGCUUCACUAGUAAAAUUAUUCUUAAAUUGUUUUCAUUGGUCUUCUCUGAUACUGUUAAUAUGAUGCUUGCAUGAUACCUAUCUGAAUUUGCUCAAUACUAAUUCGCUAAAAUGAUAGAGGCACUUAGGAAAAGCUCUGCCGCGAAAAUAUCCAUUAUGUCCCUAUAUUUCCCCCUAGAUAACCCAAUCAUAUCCAAAUAUCAUUUUGUCAUAAUCCCCCAAUAAUAUCGUAUCCCCUUUCUUUCAAGCCUUCAUUCGAUCAUGUGUGCAUUAGUGACAUGUAACUCGGUCGAGUCUAGGAGUCAGAGUUGCUAAGUUUUGAAGAAUGCAGGAUUAUAUACUCUCCUCCCUUGAUCAAUUUGAUGUGUAUGUAAAAUUUAAAAAAAUGAGAAAGAGAACAAAAAUAUUGAAAAUCUCAAAAAAAGGAAGGAGACAAGCGAAAAACCCAGGCUCGAGAUAAGAAAAAUAGAAAAGUUGAAUAGAAGGCCAACGGUCUAGAGUUAGACGUAUAAACGAGCACAAAAGCUCGAAGUAGUAGUUUGUACAUAAGGGUUAGAUGACCUAGCUUAAAGCUCUUGGUGGAAUUUGAUCCUUUCAUAUUGUUGUUCGUGAGUACUAAUUUAGCUCCAUUUUAGAGUAGACCGAGUCGUCCGCCAUUGUGUGCACUUACCACCAAAUUCAUUUCACCUUCUUUUCUCAAUUCUUUCCACAUUACAAAGCCGAAUAAAAGACCUCUUGAUUAGUGUUUGAAGUGCCUUGAUGUGAUGAUUAAUAGUAGGUUUAUGUCCAAGUGUUGGAAGCGCAACUCAGAGUUGAUGAUGAGCGCAUAUAAACUAUCCCUAAACACUGAGUGAGUGCUUUCGGCUUCAUCUUAAGUCGAAUUCCUCUGAGAGUAAGUCUCGAUGGGUGAUAGAACAUGCAUGAUGAUGUGUGGCAAGUUGGAGAAAUUCUUAUUAGGCCUUUAAUGCCUGUUUUGAUUUUCUUUCAAGAUUCACUUGUUUGUUAAGCAAUUCAAGGAUGCUCUGAGGGGUAUGUGUUUUCUUUACUAUGUUUGUAGUUUAUUUGAUUCUAGAUUUGUUCCAUAGCUUUUAUCAUCUUUUUGCUUGAGGAAAACCAAAUCUUAAGUGUGGGGUUAUUUGAUGACACUCGAUUUUCCGUGUUCAUUGUCCUUAUUUAAGCAACAUUCCAUGCAUAUGUGUAUAGUUUUGGGUAGAAGUUUAGGGUGUUUUUAUGCAUUUCUACCUUCUAUCUCGUUUUAGUAUCUCGGACCCGCUAGGGGUCCUUUUGAUGUCAUUUUGGAGUGAUUUUAUAAGAUUUCAGGUUCAUGACGAUGCUGAGGCAUUAUUCAGACCAAUACGGGCAGCCAUGGAUGAGAUAGGAUGGGUCAAGAAGUGAAGAAACUACAAAAGACUGGACGUUGUCAACAUUGCCGCUAUAGGAGUUGUCAAAUUUGCCGCUAUGCAUUUCAUAACAGCAAAUUUGACAACUCUCUUUGAAAACAAGUCAAGAUUUACGCUAUGGAUGUGUCAAUCUUGCCGCUAUGCACAUAGCGGCAAUAUUGACAUUGAACCAUAGCGGCAAAGUUGACAUUCUGGAAAUUGAAGGAUUUUUGAGAACUUCUAUUUAAAGUCCGGUCCUCCCUCAUUCGAAUUCAAACUUUCCUGGAAGAAACUGAGGGAUUUAGGGAGAGAUUGGAGAGCAACUAAAUGCAACUUCAAGGAGCUCAGAAUCGGCAAAGUAAUCAACACGACGAAUCAAGUUCUUCGGGAAGAUCGACAAAAUUAGGUUUUUCAUAAUUCUUUGUGUAAACCUAGAUUCAAUGUCUUCCUCUUCUGAUUUUGAUUUGUCUCUCGAGAUUAUUUGAUUUGUCUAUCGAGAUUAUGAGUGGCUAAUUUUCUUUUACUUAGUUUAGAUGAACCCUAGGUUAAUUCCUAUGAACGAAUGAUUUGAUACGUUGACGAUUUAUUCGAGUUAGAUAGAUUUCAUUAAAUAUUUUAUUUCUUUUUCGAUUUGUUCUUGUGUGAUCAACUUGAAUUAAAUCUAUAUUAGAUUUGUCUUAGACUCGCGAGAGCUUGCAUAUCUAGAACGCUGAAAUCAAAUAACUAGGUUAGACAUUAACCCACAUCCGGGAGCGAAUGAACUAGUCUGUCAUGUGAGCAAUUCCAAAUCGGUAACUCGCCUAGCGGGUUUUAGAUCUUUGUCUUGAAAGAGCGGACUAGAAUACUAGAUAGGUAGCAAAUUAACAUACCCGAAAGUGCAUGAUUUGAUUAGAGAAGAAUUGCGAUGGUAUAAUGCAUCUAUCCUGUUUCGUUUAAAUCAUGGAAUUUGUCGGUCAUUUGUGAAUUAGAAUAGCCUAGGGGGAUUCGACAUCUAAGAAAUUUCAUCUUUGAUUGUCAACCUUAUAUCGUGCAGUCUUGCAAACCGUUUACUUCAAAGAAAUUUUCAUCUUUCUAUGUUAGUGUAUGAUUGAUCUUCGUGGCACCUAAACCAUACUACUUGUUACUUCGAUUGAUACUAUUUACAACUUUGAGUUGGAUACUAACAGAGACCCUAGGGAAAUUCGACUCAGUUAAUUCAUUAACCGGAUUAAUUUGAGAAGCUAGACAUAGGUGAACUUAGACCGACUGAAAUGAUUCGUGCCAAUUGAGGAUGUGCCAAUUCGUGUAGGUCCUUUUGAAUUUCCUACCGAUUUUGUUGUGCUAGACACCCAUGAACAUGACUGCAACAUUUUGUUAGGACGUCCAUUUUUAGCUACUGUUGAAGCUAUGAUUGAUGUUUAAAAAGGGUGUUUAACAUUGAAAGUAGGACAUGAUAAGGUCAUAUUUCGCCUAAACGAUGGCAUGAAAUACUCUAGAGCUGAGGAUAAUUAUGAUACUUCUGACAACUUGAAGGAUGCAUCUGAAAUGUUUGAAUUGUCGCAUAUGCUUGUUGGAGAUGUAUGUACUAUUAAAGGUGUUUAUGGAGACUGGAUGAACGACAUGGAGCAUAGGGCACAAGCAAAAGCCCUUGAGCAGCUCGAGACCUAUUCUGGCACGCCACCGGUGUUGGAACUUAAAAACAUCAUAAAGAUACCUACAUCUUAUGAAGAACCAUAUGAGUUGGAACUGAAGCUACUACUAGAGCAUCUCGAGUAUGCAUUCCUCUGUGAGGGCUCAAAAUUUCUAGUAAUCAUCAGUUCAAAGCUCGAACCCCCAAUAAAAGGAGCAGCUUCUAGCCCUUCAUUCUGCACCCACAAGAUAGCAUGGAAGCUUGCAGAAAUUAAGAGAAUCAAUCAUUCAUUUUGCACCCGCAAGAUAAAUUUGUAGGCUGAUGUCAACCCUAUAGCACAACCGCAACGCCAACUAAAUCCAUCUAUCAAGGAAGUCGUGAUGAAGGAGUCGCUCAAACUCCUAUAUACAUGUAUUAUUUACCUAAUUUCUGACAGUCGCUGGGCUAGUCCUACACAAGUGGUGCCAAAGAAGGGCGGAUUCACGAUUGUGCCUAACAACAAGCGAGAGCUUAUUCCCACUCGGAUUAUCACCGGAUGGAGAGUGUUUAUUGAUUACAUGCGCCUUAACAAUGCUACAAAGAAAGACCACUUUCCACUAUCAUUCAUUGACCAAAUGCUGGAACUCCUCGCCGGUCAUGAGUUUUACUGCUUCUUGGAUGGGAUGCCAAGUUACUUCCAUAUCCCAAUCGAGCCAGAGGACCAGAAGAAGACUACAUUCACAUGUCCCUUCGACACAUUUACAUACAUGCAUGUCCCUUUUGGUCUAUAUAAUGCACCUGCAACUUUUCAAAGGUGUAUGCUAGUGAUCUUUGGGCACUUACUAAAAGAUGUUGUCAAAGUCUUCAUGGAUGACUUCUCUGUGUAUGUAGAUUCGUUUUCAAGAUGUCUAGACAACUUGGAGAAGGUGCUAGCAAGAUGUGAGGAGACCAACUUAGCUCUAAGUUGGGAGAAGUGCCACUUCAUGAUGGAGAAGACGAUCGUGUUAGGCCAUAGAGUCUCCAAAUGUUGUAUCGAGGUGGAUCAAGCUAAACUCGAAACCAUUUCUCAGCUUCCUCCCCCUGUGAAUGUUAAAACUUUACGUAGGACAUGCAGGCUUUUAUCAUCGUUUAUCAAAUAUUUCUCUAAGUUUACAUCGCCUAUGACUAGGUUGUUAAAGAAAGAUGUGCCAUUUGUAUUCGAUGAUAAAUGUCUGUAGGCAUUCGAAUCCCUCAAGAAGAAGUUGACGACUACGCCGAUACUAGUCUCCCUGAAUUGGGGAACCCCUUUUGCAUUAAUGUGUGAUGCUAGUGAUUUUGCAGUUGGCUCUGUGUUAGGGCAAAGGAGAGAAAAGAGGUUUUAUCCGAUUAAUUUUGUUAGCAAGACGCUUAAUGAUGAGCAGAAGAACUACACAAGUAUGGAGAAUGAGCUGUUGGUGAUUGUCUUCUAAUUUGACAAGUUUGGGUCUUAUCUAGUAUUGUCCCAUACUACAGUUUUCACAGACCAUUAUGCUCUUAAGUAUGUUCUAGCUAAACAAUAUGUGAAGCCGAGAUUAAUUCGAUGGGUCUAACUCCAUCAAGAGUUCGACAUCACAAUCAAGAAUAAGAAAGGAGCAGAAAACGUUGCAACAUAUCAUCUUUCGCGCCUUGAAAGGCCUCCUCUGGGUCGAUUGCUGAAGCAGAGAUCAUUGAGCUCUUCCCGGAUAAACAGUUUUUUCUCUUAGAAGAAGUUGAGGAAGUCUCGUAGCAUCAUCCCAACAAACGUCUAUGGUUUGCCGAGAUAGCGAACCUCCUUGAUUCUGGAACGUGUCCAGAAGGUUACUACACUUAUCAGUAGUGGAGGAAACCGAUUUCCAACGCCAAGCAUUAUAUAUGGGAUGAUCCCUAUCUCUUCCAUUUGGGCUCAGACGAAGUGAUCAGAGGAUGUGUCACCCCGCACGAGUCACUCAAAAUCAUGCUUUGCUGCCACACCAGUCCCUUCGGGGGACAUCACAGUGGAAACCACACUGCUCUGACGAUUUUGGAUACAGGUUUCUAUUGGAGGACAAUCUGGAAGGAUUGUGGACAUUACGUCAACAAUUGCGAUCCAUGCCAAAGUUCAGGUAACAUUUCAAAUAGAAAUUAUAUGCAAUGACUAUAUCCAUACCUGUAGAGAUUUUUUAUGUGUGGGGGGUUGAUUUUAUGGGUCCUUUCCCUCAGUCCCAUGGUAAUAAGUAUAUUCUUGUUGAUGUGGAUUAUGUGUCGAUAUGGGGAGAAGCACAAGCGCAACCUACUAACGAUGCUACGACAGUGGGGAAGUUUAUCACCCGCCUUUACAGGUGUUUCGGCACCUCUUGCGGUAUCAUUAGCGAUAUGGAUACUCACUUCGAGGGUCAAUUCGAUCGAUUUUUCCAAAAUUUUGGCAUAACUCAUCGAUUGACCACAGCUUGCCAUCCACAUGCAAGUGGUCAAGCGGAGGUUACCAAUCGUGAGCUCAAGCGAACUCUUGAUUGAACAGUCAAUCAAUAUCUCAAGGGGCUGGUCGAUUGGGUCGAUUGGGUCGAUGAAGCUCUCUGGCUUAUCGAACCGCCUUCAAGACUCAUAUUGGCAUGUUAACGUAUCGACAGGUUUAUGGCAAGGCUUGUCAUCUACCGGUUGAGCUUGAGCAUAAGGCGUGGUAGGCCAUGAAGUGACUGAACAUGGAUUGUGGUUUCGCAGCCUCUGAAUGCAAAUAUCACCUUGUUGAGCUCGAGGAAUACAAGUUUCAUGCUUAUGAGAGAUCAUGGCUAUACAAGGAGAGGAUGAAGUGCAUUCACGAUGCAAAGCUUCAAAGUGUGAACGAAUUUGAGAAGGGAUAUAAGGUGUUGCUAUACAAUUCCCGCCUCAGACUGUUUCUGGGAAAAUUGCAAUCAAUAUGGCCGUGACAUUAUGAAGUCAGGAAAUCUUUUCCCUACGCGGCCGUGGAGAUCACACAUAUGGACAAAGGAACAUUCAAGGUCAACUUUGGUCAAAUUUAAGUCUCAAUUUACGGCACAUUGUGUGAUGAGUUAAGGCGCAUAGAUUGUCUGAAAAUUUGUUAAAAUAUGCGCCUUCACCCUGUCACACUAUGCCCCUAAAACAAAAAAAUUAAGGCGCAUGGUGUGAUAUUAAAAGCGCGAUCUGCCCCUUUGAUUCUCUAUUUUCACCCAAAAAAACCUCCAACCCGCGCCUCUUUCCAAGUCGACGACCACCGUCGCUGAAACUUGCAAACCGUCACCGUCCUCACCACCACGCCAUCGCUGGUCGCAUGCGAGGCCUUCCCCUGCCUCCUCCUUCGAUUUGUUUCAAGUUUGAUAAUGUUUGGAGCUCGUUUGGUGAAAUUUUUUCCCGGUUUAAUGAAAUCUUCAAUUUCUUUGAUUUUUGCUCGUUUCUCCCUUGUAAUCAAUGACUAUUACCUAGUUUGUAUUCCUUAAACUCUUUUCUUCCAUUUCCAUGUCUUGAAAUUGGAUAAUUUGAGCAUAUUCGUUGAAUUGCUUUCAGGGUGGAUGAACCCUAAUAUUUGAAAUUGGGGGUUUGUGAAAUUGAUGUUGCCAAACUAAAAUUGGGUAUGAUAGGAGCCUAUUGGUAUGAUUUUCCCCUUGAAAUUGCAUGAUUAAGUCGUCGAAUUUUGAUUUUUAGUCCAAAUUUUUAGUAUGUUUUUCCGGAAUUUGUGGUUAUGAAAUCAAGCAUGCUUUGAUUCAUUUCUUUGCCUUAGUGGCAUGAUUAUAAGUGCUAGGAACCCCAAAUUGGCUGCCUUAUAGAGAAUGCAUCAGUAUAAUUGCCAUGAUUGCUUAUUUCGUUGAUUGAUUAUGUGAGAUAGCUUGUUGGGCAUAGUUUGUGUUGAGAUGAGAUAAAUUACGAUGGAAUUGCUGAAUAACUCUAGCUAUAAACUUGAAGUAUUUUGCAAUGUUGUGGCUACUUGUAUCUUGCUUUUGUUUUUCUCCAUACUUGUUUGAUUUCGCAAAUUUCAAGUGUGGGGUGGGAGUAUGUUUUGUUGAGUAUGGAUUGCUCCUAUUGACUGUAUUGUUAUUUUUUAAUUGUGCCGGAAAAAUUGACAUAAUAGAGCGGCCACUUGUUGCCAUGCGAGAGAGCCCUCACCGGAACCUGGGAAGCUUCAGGCAGUGAGAUGGAAAUUGAUAAACCAGUUGUCGAUGAUGAGGACUUAGUUCCUUCUCGAACGGCCCCGAGCGUGUGUCACUACCACAUAUAUCUUCGCCGACUUUGUGUCGAUGCUUGGCGUAGUUUCUGGCGCAACUUUUGUCAUCUCCAAGUAGCGCCUACUCAAGCCUUGUACAUCGAGAGUAUAAGGGCCAUGAACCCGGCUUGGGCAGAUGAAAUGUUGCGGCGUUGGGUCUUGGGAGGAUUGGUGGGGUUGCUCACUAUUUUCGAUCCCCCCAUCCUCGUAGCACUUAAGAAGUUGUAGAGCUUGUUCUUGUACGAGAUUCGUCGGGAAAAGCAAGGUGGGGCAUGCGUUCACUAUCAGCUUGGGGGCACCACCUUUAGAGAGACAUUGGAUAAGUUUUCUUCCUCUCUCGGCUUUCAGGGACCUUUCACCGAUCUGUCCCAGUCAUUCGGGUCGCCCAGCGACGAGCCCCAUAUUUUUGAUGAUGAACUGAAGGAUGUGUGGCACGUGAUUUCUGGCAAGCCACAGAGCUCCUCGCCACCGAGUGGUUGCUCAUACACCCACAUUCGUGAUCUAUACUAUCAUCUCUUCCAUUUGGUGUGCAAGAACAAUAUCUCUUAUAGGCACAUCGGCUCAAGGUCAAGUGGGAAGAUAACAACGGAAGAGAUGAUUUUCUACUUUGCUAUAGUUUAGCAUCGCCCACUGCAUCCUUCAUUGUGGCUAAGUUCUUCCAUCAGUGUCUCAACUGUAUAGAGAAGUCCAUCUAGGGUGGUGCUUUUGCUUCAAGGAUUAUCGAGGCCAAGGGUCUCCGACCUCACUGGUUAGAUCCAACAGUUGUAGCGCCCACUGCCCCUCCUCGGUUGAUCAGCCUCGAGCAUCCAUGCUCGCCAGCUGGACUUCGAAAUAUAGCCAGAGGAUAUAGCCCGUUACCAUAACCGCCACAGGAUUGUGGUGCCGAGAGCCCCGGUUGCUAGAGGGCGGGAUCGCGGUCUUAUAGGAUGGGUAAUCAGUGAAGUGGCAGCAGAUUCUUUCCAUCCCAUCGGUCCUUCGGAGUCAGUUGUCGGACCAGAGGGAUCACAACAUGGUUCCCCCGCCAGAGGAUACGACUCCCUCCCCCCCCCCGGUUUUGAUCAGUAGCCACCACAAAAUCACGACGAGACAUGGCGAUCGAUAUAGUAGUGGCAGACAACUUUAGCGAGGGGAGUUUCCCUUGGCAGAUUCAGCGGAGCGACUGGCAGCGCCAGCAAUAUAACAACUUGGAGGAGCUUCAUCAGCAACAGCUCGACCAGUAGCGUAGGGAGGAUCAACACUAUUGAGAGCAUAUGAGCUACCGUUAGAGCAUUCACCACCACUUCACUGGCAUAGAUAGACAACUUCCACCUUUCUGGCCCUCACCUCCGCCCGAGCAGUGAUCCAGUAUCAUCAUUCUAUCUUGUAGUUUUUCUUUCUUUCUUUGCAGAUAGUGUAUCCACCUUAUUAUGUGUGGGACUUUGACACUUGUCUUGGUCCCUUUUACAUUCAUUUUUGGUUUGUGUGUGUUUGAGUGUGUUUCGGGAGAUAGUUGGCCAUCGAGUUUGAACUUCAUGAAUCAUGUAUCGAGUCUCUCGAAUUUUUAUCAGCAUCCAGGUAUUCCUAUGUAACAUUUCGUUUCAUUCAGUAAGGACAUUGUCCAAACUAAGUGUGGGGUGGGUUUGCAUAGGACUUGUGUAUGCUAGUCUUAUUGGGUAGUCAUCUUGCAUAUUAGUCCUAAUCUCAAACUUGUUGGAACUAUCUUUGAAUCAAUUACAUGGCAUGCUUAGAGAACUUCCCUGUGAUUGGUGCAUUCGUAUUAUUGACUUACUUGUGAACCUAAUUUUGAUAGGAGUUUAGGCCUAUGAUCAAAUUCUAUUCAUUCGUUCUUUAGAGUUACUUUGAUGUGUUUAAAGUAGCACAGACUCUCCAACUUAAUGUGAUCGGGCAUGCAUGUUACCGAAUUACCAACUAGCAAAAUAAUGAGAGGCCUAACAAGAUCAUUUUGUAGUAUAGAUAAUCUACCACAUUAGUAAAUUUGUUCUUAAAUUGAUUUGAGUGGUCUUCUCUGUUUUUUAUUAAUCCGACUCUUGCAUAAUUCCGAACAAAAUUUCCUCGGCACUAAUUCACUAGAAUGAUAGAGGCACUUAGAAAAGCUCCACAGUCAAAAUAUCCACCUUGUCCUUACACUUUCCCCUAGGUAACCCAAACAUAGCCAAAAAUCCUUUUUCAUAACCAUCAUAAUAUCGUAUCCCCUUCUUUCAAGCCUUCAUUUCAUCAUGUGUACAUUAGUGGCAAGUAACUCGGUUGAGUCGAGGAGUUAAUAAAGUUGCUAAGUUUUGAAGAAUGCGGGAUUAUAUAGUCUCCCUUAAAUAUGUUUGAUGAAUAACUGUAAUUUCAUAACAAAAAAAGAGAAAGAAAAAGUGGGAAUCUCAAAAAAAGGGAGGAGGCAAGUGAAAAAACCAAGUCUAGAGAUAAGAAAAAUCAAAAAAAAAGUUGAAUAAACAAUCAGAAAGGCUCGGAGUAGUAGUUUGGAUAAGGGAUAGACGAGUUAGUUUGAGCUCUUGUAUAAAGUUGGAUCCUUGCAUAGUUUUAGUUGUGUUAGUAGCAUCACUCUAUAUUAAUUAGACCGGGUCGUCUGCCAUAUACACCUACCACCAAAAUCAUUUCACCUUCUCUUCUCUUUUCUGCCUACAUUACAAGCCCGAGUAAAAGACCUCUUGAUUAGUGUUUGAUGUGCCUUGAUGUGAUGUAGGAAGAAAUGCAACUGUUGGAAGCGCACCUCAGAGUUGAUGAUGAGCGCAUAAACAUUGUCCUUAAACACUUGAGUGACUUCUUUCGGCUUCAUCUUAAAGUCGAAUCCUUUUGACAGUAAGUCUAAAUGGGUGGUAUACCAUAUGUGAUGAUGUGCCAAGCUGGAGAACUUCUUGUGAGGCCUUUACUACCCAUUUUGGUUUUGUUUAAAGGUUCAUUUGUUUGUUAAGAAAUUUAGGAAUGCUUUGAGGAAUAUGGAUUUUCUUUGCUAUGUUAGUAGUUGAUUUAAUUGUAGAUGAAUUCCAUGGCUUUAUCAUCUUUUUGCUUGAGCACAAACAAAGCUGAAGUGUUUGGUUAUUUGAUAACGCUAGAUUUUUCACAUUUAUCCCCCUCACUUAUGUGAUAUUUCAUGCAUAAUAGUAUUUCUUUGGUAGAAGUUUAUGAUGUUUUAUGCAUUUUAAGCUUUUAUCUCGAUUUAUUAUCUCGGGCGCGGUCGAGGUCCAUCUAAUGUCGCGUUGGAGUGUUUCUGAUAGAUUCCAGGUACAUAAUGACAUCGAGGCAUUAAUCGGAGUAAUAUGGCAUGCAUGGAUAAUCUAACACAAUGAAUGGGAAGCAUUUCCACAUAUUCAAGGAGCGUGGAUCAUGACUUCGUCGGAUAUUGUUGCAGUUUUGUACUAUGGACAUAUUUCUUAGCUGAAAAGGCCAAUUGAUGCAAGGUCGGCAGCGUUGGAAAGCUUGUUCAAUUUCCUACAGCUUUUGUUCUAGAGGUUUGUCACACAUGCGCCUAAGUUUAAGCGCAUUGUGUGACAGCUUGGGUGCAUGGAUUCUCUGGAAGUUUGGCACACUAUGCGCCUAAACCAUGUCACACUAUGUGCCUAAACCAUACCAGUUAACGCGCAUAAUGUGACGGCUAACAACAACAAGGAUUUCUGCUCCUAUUUAAAGGUCUUUCACCCCCUCAUUUUAAGACAGACUUCCUUGGACGAAAUUGAGAGCUUUAUUGAGAGAUUUGAGAGUGACUUAGAGGCAACUUCAAGGAGCUCGAAAUCGGCAAAGUAAUCAAGACAGCGAAUCAAAUUCUCGGGAAGAUCGACGAAAUUAGGUUUUUUCAUAAUUCUUUGUGUAUACCUAGAUUCAAUGUCUUCCUCUUCUGAUUUUGAGUUGUCUCUCGAAGUUAUGAGCAGCUAAACUUCUCUUGCUUAGAUUAGAUUAACCCUAGGUUAAUUCAUAUGAACGAAUGAUUUGACGACUUUUUGUCGAUUUAUGCGAGUUGGAUGAAUUUCAGUAUAUGUUUGAUUUUGUUUCCGAUUUUUUCUUUCCUGAUCAACUUGAAUGAAUCUUUGUUAUAUUUUUCUUAGACUCUUGAGAGCUUGCAUAUCUAGAUCACCAAAAUCAAACAACUAGGUUAGACGUUAACCCUCAUCCGAGAGUGAAUGAACUAGUCAGUCGCGUGAGCAAUUCUUAUUCGAUAAAUCGCCUAGCGGGUUUCAAAUCUUUCUCUCGAAAGAGCGGACUGGGAUACUAGAUAGGUAGCAUAAUAGCGGACCCAAAAGAACGUAAUUUGGUUAGAGAUGAAAUUUGACAGUUUAUUGAAUUGAUCUUGUUCGUUUUAAAUCGUGGAUUUUGUCUGUCAUUUGUGAAUUUUAAUUGCCUAUGGGGGUUCGAAAUCUAAGUAGUUUCAUCUCUGAUUGUCUAAACUUUAUAUCGUGCAGUCUUGCAAACCAUUUACUUUAAAGCAAUUUUCAUUUUCUUUUAAUUGAUUGACUGGUUCUCGUGGCACCUAAACCACACUACUUGAUAUUUUGAUUAGUACUAAUUACAACUUUGAGUAGGGAAUUCUUUGUUGAUACUUAAACAGACCCUAGGGAGAUUCGACUCCGGUAAAUUCAUUAGCCGGAUUAUUUUUAUGCCUAAAAACGAUCAUCAAAUUGGCGCUGUUGCUAGGGAAUUCUUUAUAGUAUCUGAAAGUAGUUCGAUUAGUAUUAGUCAUUCACUCCCGCUUUAAAUUUUUUAUUUCACAGUUAUUUUUUACGAUGUUUAUUGUUUGUCUGUGUGUAGGAAAGAAUUCUUGCCAGAACUCUCGACAAGACUCGCGUUCGAAACAAAACGAAGGAGAGAUUGUUGAAUCUCUACGAGGUUUACUUGGAAGCGAAGAAGGAUCUUGGUACUAGUCAUCUUCGGAAUUAGACACAGAUCACAGUUACACUUCCAGGCUUACUGAACCAAUGUCGGCAGCAAGAACUCUUAUCGAUUACACCAAGUCUAGUGCUACAAACUCCACAUCGAGUGUGGUUCCUCCUGAACAAGAUGAUGCCAACUAUGAGAUCAAGGGGAAUCUCGUCUCCUUAAUUCAUCAGAAUUUGCAGUUUGAAGGAAGGACUGAUGAAACUCCAUGCACUCAUUUAGUGGAUUUCUAUGCUUAUUGUGAGACUGUCAAACUUCAAGGUUUAACCGAAGAGGCAAUGAAGCUCAAGCUGUUCAAGUGGUCCCUUCGAGGAGUAGCACGAAUAUGGUUGACUAGUCAACCUGGAGGCACAUUCAGAGAUUGGGACACUCUAGCUUAAACUUUUGUAGAAGAGUACUACCCUCCAACGAAGACUGCAGCUGCCAGAGAAUCCAUCUCUCAAAUUUAUCAUAGAGAAGGAGAAAGCCUAUAUGACAUGUAAACCAGAUUUCAAGAGUUGUUAUUUGAUUGCCCUCACCAUAGUUAUACAAACAAUCAGCUGGCAGAUAUGUUUACCAGAUCCUUAGAUCGAGCAACGUCAAUGCUAGUACAUCAAUUACCAAAUGGAGAUGUCAAUGCUCUUACUCCUGAAGUGGCUUUGUUACACUUUGCUUCAUGUGCAACAAAGUCUAGAAACUGGUCAAGGACCACAAUUCCGCCAGCGAAUGCAGUAUCUUCUGAUAAUGCAGAUAAUAUUGCCUUUAGUGCUCAAGUGGAGGCAUUAAAGAAGAGGUUUGACAAUUUGAAGGUUUCUAACCCUCUUGCUGUUUCUGUUUAUACUUGUGCUUGGUGUGGUAUUUGUGAUAGUUGGGAGAGUGUGAAAACUUCCUCGCCAUCAAACCUCCGAUGGUAGAGGAAGUAGAUUUUGUGCGACAGGGUUACCUCUGAUGUUAGUUUUGUCUUAGACUCAUGAGAGAUUUCAUAUCUAGACAUCAAAAUCAAACAACUAGGUUAGACGUUAACCCUCAUUUGGGAGCGAAUGAACUAGUCUCUUGCAGAAGCAAUUCUUCGCCUAGCAGGUUUCAGAUCGUUGUCUCGAAAGAGCGGACUGGGAUACUAGAUAGGUAACAAAUUAGUAGACCCAAAAGGGCGUAAUUUGAUUAGAAUAGACUUGUGACAGUUUAUUGAAUUUAUCUUGUUCGUUUUAAAUCAUAGAUUUUUUCUAUCAUAUGUGAAUUUGAAUUGCCUAGGGGGAUUCGAUAUCUAAGCAGUUUCAUCUCAGAUUGUCUAAACCUUAUAUCGUGCAGUCUUGCAAACCAUUUACUUUAAAGCAAUUUUCAAUUUCUUUUAAUUGAUUGACUAGUUCUCGUGGCACCUAAAUCACACUACUUGAUAAUUCGAUUAGUACUAAUUAGAACUUUGAGUAAGAUACUUAAAGAGCCUAGGGAGAUUCGACUCCAGUUAAAUCACUAGUCGGAUUAUUUUUAUAAUGCCUAAAAAUGUUCAUCGAUGCUCGAGUCACUCCCUCAACUAUCAUCUACUAAACCAUAGUAAAAUAUGAGAUGAUGAUUGAAGAAGGAGAAGAAGAAAUAGAGAAAGGUUGCAGAAGGAAGAUAAAGGAAUGAACUUGAAUCACAUCAUCAACUCGCCUUCAGCCGUUAGAUCGCCCAAAUUACAUCUCAGCCGACCACUGAGGCUAUCCGUUGCAGUGGAUAAAUCAGAAUAUCCGCUGAAUAGAAAAAGUGAUAUUUCCCCAAAAAAAUUUAUUUCCCGCCCAUGUAAUUUUUGCAUUAUUUCUGUUUCGAGUCUACCUCAUCCAAGUCAAUUUGUUUGACUUCAUUUGCAGCCACAAGAUGAAAUUUGACCUAAAAGUCGCAUGAUCCGACUACUAGGAUUUGUGGAGACCAUCUCUCUGAUGCUUCUCUCGAAUUGCUACCAUGUUGUAAAGCAUGCAUUCAUUGACAAUCACAGUUCACAGUUCAAGAGUGUUCAAAAAGCAAGGAAGAAGUACAAAAUAAGCACAAUCAUAACCCACAAAAAAUCAUAGACCAAUUGGAUCCCAUUCAAUAUAACUCCACACUUAAACAUCAAUGGUAUCAAACAGUACAAUGGGGUGGGAAAAGGGAUAUCGAAUAGGUUGACAAAAUGGAACAAGAGAAUAGGAUUAGAGGACCAGGUUAGAGAGCUUGGAAACAAACACACAAGAGAAAUUAAAAAGAACAUACGAUACAUAACAAAAGAAUCGUUCAAACCAUUCACGAUACAAAUCAAAUGUAAAAGAAAGAUAAUUGCAAAACAAAAAUGUAAAAUUUCUCAAUAUCUGAAAUCCCGGUUGUUUAAUCUUUAAGAGUAUAGUCGAAGAUGCCACACCAUAAUUUUAGAACAAUCUUCUUGUAGGACUCCUCUCAACUUUGUAUCACCUUGAACAGCCACUUCUUUCACCAAUGUCAUCAACUUCCAAAUUAAAAGAGGAAAAAUGAAAAAAGAGUUGUAAUGAAGUAAAACUGAAAUCUCAAACCAUUAUGUUAGAAAUAAUCAAUAACCUGAGAAGUGUGUUGAGAAGAAGAAGAAGAAGAAGGAUGGGCCCAAAGGAUAGAGGUGUUGAAUGCCAAGUUGAAAUGAACAAGUGUUUUUGUAUGGUUGAGAUGCCAACGAGUUAGUUUUGAGGAAUCGCAGUUUGGUCCUUGUUGUAUUACUACCUCGUCACCUCCUCUCACCAAUGCCGCUGGCCAUCUCCCCAACUUGCUGCAAAAUCAACCUAAGAUAUCAUUUACAAACAAGUUCAAAUGAACGAGUUUAAUUCUAGAGUCAGAGAUAUUGUUUUUUAAUCCGAUUUAAAAUCUUUAAAUCUUCACAUGAUUCAGCGAAGAUAUGAUGAUGUUGUUUUAAAUAUUUUUGUUGGAUCAGAACCCAGUCAUUUCGGGUCAUCGGAUUAUCGCCUCAAAUAACCGCAAAGUUUUUCAAUCAAUUUCUUGGCGAUUCCGAUUUCCGUUGACAAAAAAUAUUCACCCACGUGAUCAUCGUCGUUGGCUCUACGUUUUUUGAAAAAAUUAUUUAUCCGGAAAUACUUUCCGACAGCUGGUCGUGCUUUUUUGUAUGGAGAGUUGUACGAAUCAUACAAAUAUGUAUAGGUUUGUACAAACCCGUACAACAGUGUAUAAAUUUGUAUGGAUUUUGUAAGAAAUGUAAUAAUAAGUACUAAGUAUUAUACUAAUUAGUAUUGUAUGCACAUUUGUAAAAUUAUAAAAUGUCAACUUUGUCUUUGUGUAAUCGGAUUCAGAAUCCAUUUUUCCGUUCCUAAAUCCGGACUCCAACCUGACAAUGAGAUUACGAAUCUCGAAAUCUAGUAAUAUUUUAAUAGUGUGUUUACCAUAAUUAGAACAGAUUUUUUAUGUGAAUAUUUUUAAAAUAUUACUGGGCACGCGGAUAAUGAAUAUUAAAAUUUAAAUUAUUAAAAUUCAUUAUAAAGUCUAAACUCGUGUGAAAAUGAAGAAAAAUAGUAACAUUCUAAAAUAUUUUAUCUAAUGAAUUGAAUUUACGUACUGAAUUUGCCUGAGCUCCUUAAAGAAGUGAAGGUCAUAGAUAUCAUGAAUCCCGGCAAAAUGCACAAUCCCGUUCAGGCGAUGAUACUCGAGGAGCUUCAACCCCAGAUUCCUCUGGUGCUCCAAUUCCGCCUCUUCGUCUGUGAAAUGAUCCCAAUACAGUAUGUGCCGGUACAUAACCUUGGUCAUCCUCAGCAUCUCCGGCAACUCCUUCAUCUCAGACUUCGUCGGCCGCGCCUUCUCCACCACCACCCACAUCAGAGGCGGUGGAACCAGUCUUAGCGUGUGGGCCAGCCGCCGGAGAUACACCAUUUGGUACCAAUCCCUCCCGUUCGCCGGAGUGAUUAUGAUAAUUAGCCUCUCUUUCGGCCCCGCUGAAUCCUCUGGUUUGGGUUCACCGGCGGCGGUUGAAUUUGACACUGGAUCGGCUUUGGAGGCUAAUUUCCUGGUUGUGUUAGGCUUGGUGGCAGCUGAAUUGAGAGAGGCGAUCUUGUUUGGAGAGAAGUGCAAAGACGUCGACAAGCUGUUCGACGAAAUGUCUGAACGAGCUGUUGUUGGUGUUGGUCGUGUUGUGGUAGUAGUAGUGACGGGGAUUGAACUUCUGUCGGUUGGAGUAAAUCCGGUGAAGAAACCCAUAACGAAGCAGAGGACGAAAUGGGCUACUGCUUUCUUCCAUACCUCAUCAACCUUCUUAGAUCUUUGUAGAGAACCCAUUGCUGGUUCAAGAUUCCAGAGUCUUGAAAGAAAGAAGAUGAUUAAAUGAGGGGGAACUUACAACCGGUUACGCAAAUAUCAAGUUCACCAUCCAUGUGACAUGCGUGAUGAUGAUUCGAAGCUAACAGUCAGGGAUGGAAACUCCUGAACCGCUCUGAAUUGAGUUGAAUUGAGUUACAUUUAAAUCCUUAUUUUUUGUUGAGUGUUAAAUAUUUAGAUUUAAUAUUUUAAUAUUUAUAAAAAAAAAGGAAAUUGGGAAAAAUAUCUAGAAUUAAUAUUUUAAGCAAAUAUGCAUUUGAGAUAUAGAAACAAUUUGAUUAAAAGUGCUCUGAAAAUGCACGAGUAAAAUGAGGAACAAGACGAGCAUAAUAAUAGUAAAAAGUCGCAACUACUCAAACAGAUACUGAGCAUCAACCAUCCGAAAUUGUAAUAGUUCACAAAACUUGAUUCAACAUCCCAAUUUAAAAACGCAAGAAAAUCCCAACACAUAGUUUUAGACGACGACAGCAGAAACAGAAACAGUAAACUAAACCAACACUUGAACACAAGAGGAACUCCUCAUUUCUUCUUGGCAGCAGACUUGGUGACCUUGGCACCGGAUGGGUCCUUCUUCUCCACACUCUUGAUGACACCGACAGCAACAGUCUGACGCAUGUCCCUCACUGCAAAACGACCCAAAGGUGGGUACUGGGAGAAAGUCUCCACAACCAUGGGCUUGGUGGGAAUCAUCUUCACCAUACCAGCAUCACCGUUCUUCAAGAACUUGGGCUCCUUCUCAAGCUCCUUACCAGACCGCCUGUCAAUCUUGGUCAGGAUCUCAGAGAACUUGACGGCAAUGUGGGAGGUGUGGCAAUCCAGCACCGGAGCAUAUCCGUUACCAAUCUGACCAGGGUGGUUCAUGAUGAUAACCUGGGAAGUGAAAUUGGCAGCUUCCCUGGCUGGGUCAUCCUUGGAGUUGGAUGCAACAUACCCACGCUUGAUAUCCUUAACAGCAACAUUCUUAACGUUGAAACCAACGUUGUCACCUGGAAGAGCCUCCUGGAGAGCUUCAUGGUGCAUCUCCACGGACUUGACUUCAGUGGUCAGACCUGUUGGGCCGAAGGUAACAACCAUACCAGGCUUCAGGACACCAGUCUCAACACGUCCCACUGGCACAGUUCCAAUACCACCGAUCUUGUACACAUCCUGAAGUGGCAGACGGAGGGGCUUGUCUGAGGGUCUCUUGGGCUCGUUGAUCUGGUCCAGAGCCUCAAGAAGGGUUGGGCCCUUGUACCAGUCAAGGUUGGUUGACCUCUCAAUCAUGUUGUCACCCUCGAAACCAGAGAUCGGAACGAAUGGGAUUUUGUCGGGGUUGUAUCCAACCUUCUUCAAGUAGGAUGAAACUUCCUUCACGAUUUCAUCGAACCUGGACUUGGAGUACUUGGGAGUGGUGGCAUCCAUCUGCAAACGUACACAAUACAGAAGAAAUUAAGAAUCCGAGAAAGAAUUCCAAUAUGUAAAUAUAGAUAAACAAAUUAACAAUAAUUAUGCAUCACCUUGUUACAGCAACAGAUCAUCUGCUUCACACCAAGGGUGAAAGCCAGAAGAGCAUGCUCACGUGUCUGUCCAUCCUUGGAGAUACCAGCUUCAAAACCACCAGUGGUGGAGUCAAUAAUAAGGAUGGCACAGUCAGCCUGUGAGGUACCAGUAAUCAUGUUCUUGAUGAAAUCACGAUCCUCACAAUAACACACUUUUCAAUACCUCCAAACUUGUAGAUCAAGUGACCAGUGGUGGUCGACUUUCCAGAGUCGACGUGGCCGAUGACCACAAUGUUGAUGUGAACCUUCUCUUUACCCAUGAUAUCAGUAGGCGCAGAAACUGUAUCGAAAUUAAUCCAACAACGUUAGUACACAAAAGGAAAUCGUAAAGGUCAUCAACCAAAGCAGAGCCACAUACGAUUCAUAAUAUAUUCUAAGCAGAGAGUACUCAUAUGAAAUUUGACAAACUAUCGCUAUUUCAUCGAACAAUAUCGUAUGGACUCGAAAAAUUUGAGAAACAUGCAUAAAAGAAUCAAAUACAUUAAGAGAACUAAAAUAUAUUUAACAAUAAAGGACAUCGCAGAUUAAAUCAGUAAUAGUGGCUGCUGGGAUUCGAGCCCAGGUCUCCACAACUAAGUGUGGGAUUUACCAAUAAACUACAGCCACAUAAAUAAAUUUUCAAGUGACAGAUCGAAUCGAAAUCUCUGCGACCUCUUUCAAAACCAAUUCCUAGAGAUGCAUACUAUAUAGAUUCCAUCACACAGAGAACAGACUUUGCGUUUAAAUAAUAGAUCGGAUAAUCACCAAACACAUAGAUCUAAUAUACAGAAAGAGAUUAUGUCAUACUAAACAAACGAUUCACCACAGGAGCAGCUCAGCAUAUCAGAAAAAUCGAAAAAGAACAGAUCGAGUAAAGGAAAUCAUCGGCAUGGGAUAGAGAUCCAUAAACGCAGAAACGAUUAUAAACAAAAACGAUUUCAAGCAUCUGAUUAGACGAAGCAGGAGCUGAAGACAACGACGACAUACAAAAUACACAGAGGAGGAAGGUAAGAAUGAAGGAAAUCGAACCUCAGAAGACGGAUUGUGGUGAGUGAAGCUAGCACUUCCGCUGUCGCAGUGUCAAAAGAGGAGAGUUAUGAGGCAAGGAUGAAGAAGGGAGCCUCGCUUCGUCUUAAGUAGUCUCGGAGACUUGACCUAAAGCCUUGGGUGUGAUUAGGGUUUCUGUUACAGCCGUUAGAUCGUUUCAGCUGACGGCCUGGAUUAAUUCAUCGUAUUUGCCGUCCAAUGCUUUGAAUAUUUUGUUAUUUUCUUCGUAUUAGGGAUCCUGGUGGAAGGCACGUCAGCUACCCAAAUUAAAAAACCAGCUUGGUGGGCAAGUUUGGAACUAGGGCCUGAAAUUGAUGUGUUGUGAUGAGGGUGAAGCCCAAUAAUAGACGACUUUGAUUAUUAAUACAUUAUUAUUGUUUGAAUGCUAUAUGCUCAUUUUCGUUUAAUACAGAUUUUCAAAUUGGGUUAUGUUGAACCACUAGGAAUAGGAAUGGUGUUUUAUCCUUUCUAUAGAAUAUAUAUCAUCACAUCUCCUCUUCCGCCGCGGUCAUACUCUAGAUUGUACGAGCCUAGUAGUGGCUAUUAUCUAUCGAUGCAUCAUAUGUGAUCUUUUUUUAUAAAGUGAGUAAUCUUAUAUAAAUAAAAUUAACUGUAUAUGAGGGGAAGGGGUUUACGAAUUAGCAAUCCACUUAUAGAACCAAUAUCUUUCCCAAAAACUUAAAGGAUGAAACGCAAAAAAACAGCCUGCCAAUCUACGUAAAACCGUAAAAACUCCCCAAAAGCCUGCAAAACCAAUCCCACAAUCCACCACCCGCUAACCAACCCAGAAAGGAGCACCAAACCUGCCCAAACUGAAUCAGACAUCAGAGCGAAGCAAAGUGAACCAGUCCGCCGCAUCCUGUCGAGACAACACCCCACCACAGACGGCCCAUAUACCCACCAAGGAAACAAUGCGGAAAGUUAUCGAUCUCACAGAGAGUUCUUCAUCUUUAAAGAUCCUCCUAUUUCUUUCCAACAACAAGCACCACAUAAUACCGUGAAGAAGAAUCCACUUGCAUCCCGAGAACCUCGACCCGCAACCCCAGUUCAAUCUUUUCCACGCAAGGAGUAUUCCUCGAAAUGAGCAUGGGAGAAGCUCAUAAAUGGAAAGUCGUGAACUAAAGGAAAACCAUACCUUCCUUGCGUACAAGCAGUCCCAAAAAAGAUGCAUUAUCGACUCAUUAUCCACCAUACACAUAGGACACCGAUUUGGCAUUUGGAAGCCUCUCUUAAUCAGAUUAUCCAUCAUGGAGACAUUUCCAUGCCAAAGCUGCCAAAGGAAACCAGCAACUUUUGUCGGCGCCAAUGGCUUCCACACCAACUGAAAAUGGAAUUCUUGCACUCCUUUGAACUUGCUCCAAAUCAGCUGCUUUGCCAAGGACUUCACUCAGAAUACCCCAGAAGUCUCCAAAGUCCACUCCAGAGAUUCAGUGAAGGAGCUGCAAAAGUCGCAACCACUCCACCUUGGCACCCCCACGCAAAGAGAGAGUUAAAGGGAUAACCCAUAUCCCUCACCCUCUCUCGCCGCAAGAGGAUCGAUGGAUUUGGCAUUACUCUUUGUAUGGUAUAUUUUCUACAUCAUCUGCUUUCCUCCUUGCUCAACGCUCAGAACCUUUUGACCACAACCCCACAGCUCGUCCAUUACGUUCCAAGGUUUGACACUUAGUUUGGCACUUACCAAUCCUCUCGAAACUCCUGUUCUUCCUCUGGGGAUUAUUUCACCACAUCGUCCCGACAAGAGAGGCGCAUGUGCCUUGUUUGCUGGGGCCUUGAAGAGACUAUUGAGCACUUGCUAUUUGAAUGUCCGAUUGCGAUUCAGGUCACGACCCUCGCAACCUUACAAAUCCUGGGAUCAGUACAACUUCAUCCUUCCACGGUAUAACGUGAUCUCAUGAACUCUCAUCCAUAUCUGGUUCCAAUUUACACUCUCUUAUGGUGGCUUUAACAUCCCAGUUUUACAUAUUGAAAUAAACGAGAAAUUGUAAAGGGACGAAUACAUGACACAGUUUAGAAAUAGUACAAAAUAUCAUUAAAAUUAUACAUAAAUGAUACUGGUAACCUUUUUAGAAAAACUGGAAUAUUACGCCAAAUAACUUAUUUCCGGAAGCUGGUGUCAAAUAGUAAAUGGACCCAUCUUUUAAAACAAAUCCCAAAAAUAUACAGUCUCAUCAAUAUCCCAACUUCAGCCUGGCGGUAGAUGAACAAAUCCUCUAUAAGUUUUUCUAAUACCAUAUAACCUGUCAAGAACUGUUGGGUGGCUCGGAGUCAAUCUUUCGAAGUUAUCUUAUAGAUAUCAAAAUGAAAAUCAUUGAAAAAGACAACCAUAAAGCAUGUAAAACAUAUUGGACAACUCUGACUCUACUUUGCAUAUUUUAAUUGAGAUUCCGGCUCACAUAUGCUGACGACCCAUAUACAUGUUAGUGGCAUCAAAUCGGGCCGUAUAUAGUGGCGCCUACCAAGGCCCACAAUGACAUUUAGUGUGGGAAGCCCACCGUGUAGCUAUAGUGCAUUAAGCACUAUCGUCAACAUAUGGGCUCUAACUAGGUGAUCAAUCAAUACCAACAUUACUCUUGCAAUAGAACUUGUUCAACUGAACAAUUAUAUGUAACAUAUCGUGUCAGAAGUAUAUCACCUAGGAUAUAUCAUAACAGUAUGUGGAUCACAUAUAAUUGACAUAUCAAGUUGUCACAUAUAAUGCAUUUAAAACCUUUAAAAUCCAAGUACUAUUCAUGUAAUUCAAAGAAGCAUAAAUAACACAAGUAAAACAUAAACAUUUAAAAUGGAAGAUAUUACCCCUUAAACCAACCCACCUGAAAUUAAACUGGUUGACACGAAAUACGGGCAAAUGUCCAAGAACGGAAUAACUAUGGCUUAGCUCAAAACUGUUGGGCCAAACCGCAAUUGCUGGAAAGUAUUGGGUUGCGGCUGGAAUAAUUCAAAAGUUACAGACUGCGUAGACAGAACAAAGGAAUUCAUGGGCUAAUUCUAAAUUGCAGAACUUCAAGGACCAAUUUGGACAUUUACCAAAUACACGUGAAGCAACUCUCCUGUUGCUUUCUAGAAUCCGGCGACGACGAACCCCGACUUUGGUGAGCCUUAAAUCACCACCAAAACUCGAGCAAACUCGAAUCGAAGGUCACGUAAGGCUUCGUCUCGAUAAUACGAAGCCAACCGAGGCAUUUAAUGGUCUUGGGUUGGUCUGGAACUUAUCGACGGUACUCGAUGUCGGAGAAGAACAAAGAAAAUAAAGAAUGAUGAUACUCCGAUCCUCUGGAGUUCGAUACUGGUUCGGGGAGGUUUUAAAUAGCCACUCGGUUCCCUUCAUUGAAGGUUUGGUCUCGAAUCGUGGCAUCAACUCCAGCGUUUACAGUUUGGCGCUGGAAGAGAUUAAAUCAGAGGAUGACAUGGACAAUGAUUUCAGGUGUGAUUCACAGGGAUUGGAAGAUGAGAAAGGUCACAUGUACAAAUUACGACGAUUGGUGGCGUUUAAUCAGCGAGAAAGGCGCAGGAAAUGCUUAUUGCCGUGUAUAGGAGGUCGUCGGAUAAAACCAAAAGUCGUCGUCGGAAACUCAACGAAGACGGUGAGGGUGGCCAAAUUCAACCAAAUCUCAAAACGACGUCGUUUAAUGGCUGAAUGAAAAUGAAACAAAAAUAAAAUAGAACUACACCCUUGUGAAUCAAACUCGGAUCUGUAAAGUAGAGAGCAAGAACACAAGCCAUCUUAGCUACUGAUUUUGUAAUUGAUCAAAUUCCCAUCUCACUCUUUAUUAAUACACCAUUCUGAUUGAUUCCAAUUUAUUCAUGUUAAACAUUUAGUUAAGCACUUCACAAAUACAACUAAUACUAAAUUCUCACAGAUAAAUCUAGAGACUUUUUACCAGGAUCGGGUAUUACAGUGGCGACUAUGGAACGGGCAAAAUUUAGUAGUUUUCGAGAACAAACAGCUCCUACCUAAGAUCCUUCUCCACAAAUCGCUAAUUUUUCCCUUCUUCCUCAGCCUCCAGUUAGGUUGUUCCUCCCCCCCCCCCAUGUUGGUUGUCCAGACCACCUGGGUCCCCCCACGGGCCCCCACACCCCCCACUGGCCCCCACAUUAAGAUUAAUGUGGAUGGCGCGGUGGCAGAUCCGACUUGUGGCACGGUGGGUCGGGUUGUCCGAAACGCCGCUAGUAAAAUCUUGUAGGGUGUUGGGUGGACGUAUCUAGAGCUCCUUGACCCUUAUGUUCUGGAGCUCAUGGCCGUCCGUGAUGGAUGUGCUUGGUGUUUUCGCCAUGGUGUUUGGCAAGUUGAUCUUGAGGGGGACGCGGAGGCUGUGCAUUCCGUAUCACUAAGCGGUCCUCUCGUUGUGUUGCCCAUGGGGGGCUAUCAUUGUAGAGAUUCUUUCCUAUUUGGCGGCCUGUCCUCGCUUUCGGAUUCUGGUGGUGCUCCGUGCUGCUAAUGGAGCUGCCCAUAAAGUGGCUGCCUAGCUCUUUUAUAUAUCUCGACUUGUGUGGAGACCGAUUUCACAGCCUGCGCUGAUACUUAAUUUUAUUUUUGUUUUAUUUCAUUCCUCCUCUCCUAAAGUUACCUAUGAAAAAAAAAGUUUAUCACAUAAACUUUUAAUCUUUUUUUAAAUUUCCACAUCAUCAAUUAUUUUUUAAAUCAAAAUUUAAAUAUUCUCUCUCAUUCUAUUAAAUGCUCUCUUAUUUUUUUAUCUCCCCUUAAAUCAAUGCUUAAUAUAUAUAUAAUAAAAUCAAAUAUACAAUAAGAUAUGAAUGUGAUAUAUAAUUUGAAUUUUUUGCAUUGAUAAUAAUUCUAUGUUAAAAUAAAUAUCAAAUAUAAGUAUUUCAUAAUUUCAAAAAAUAAGUCUACGUGUUCUAUAUAAAUAAUUAUAAGGGGACGAGUUGUGUUUCUGACUUGUCGAGUUAAUAAGGUUACAGCUUAUAUACGAUUGGAGUCAUAAUUUCUUAUAAUCAUUGACAUUUAAACCAAUCAAGUUAGACAUUUAAGUCCAUUGCCUUACAGACUAAUCGUGCUACAAUCAAUAAGAUCUUAGUGAUUAAUUAGGUUGUGAGUUGGACAUGUCAUUGGUUGUUUAAUCUUAACCAAGUUAUGUCACAUGUCGGCUUGGUUAAGUGAGGUUGAGUUGGUUCAUUAGAUCAAGUAAUAGUACUAAUAUAUACCAAAACAAUCACCACACAUCGGGUGGGUAACAAAAUAGUACAUUUGAAUUAACGAUGACAAUCAUCACCACCAAUACGGGUAUCCGACCAAAUACCGUUAUGUGUAGGUACGGAUAGGACACGAAUAUUGCAAUAUCCGAACCGAACCCAACCCGGUUAAUUAAAUAUCUAUUAAAUUAUUUUUGCAAUGAUAUCUUUUUAUGUAUAUUAUAUGAACAACGUUUCGAUACGCUGACACGUGUCAUAAUUAUAUUAGGCCUUGUAGUAUACAAGGCUUUCUUUUAGAAUCCUUCGGUUUGUGCUUAUAGUACAUUUUAAUCGUUCAAUAUUUUGAAAACAAAAAUGUCUAAAAUUUCAACUUAACAGUGUUAUUCUCAAUGGCAUCAGUUUAAAGACUUGUUUGGCUGUCCAAUUUAUUGUUUUUGAUGAAAAGAUUGAUGGUAGUCCCCUGGCUUUCUAAGUAGCUCAAGACAGUAGGAUCAUCAUAAUAGUCCCCGAGUCUAAACUCCACUAUCUUUGGUAUCUCUAAAUUUUGGGAAAAUUACAUCCAUUAAUCAGGUUCCAGCAACUUACAAGGUCCACGAAGAUUGUCUUCAUCGUCCUCAUAUGAAUUUUCCAAGACAAAUUGUACAACUGCAGGGUUUCUCUAAUGCGAGUUUUCCUGUUCGAAGCCUAACCAUGCAUGAUAAUCAUCAAGCUCCCCAAAAAGUAGCGAACAGAGACCUCUUCCCAGGGAAUACUGAUUCUCAUAGUUUUCUUUCAGACUACGUGCUUUGAUCUAUUGGAGUUGCUCAAAUAGAUUAUCAGCGUAAGGGACAUGUUGAGACUUUUUACCCGUAAAAGAGCAAGUGCAACUCCAUAUACUUCAAACUUUUGAGGUGGAAUGUUAGGAGGAGUGGCUACAAAUAGAUCAACCUGUUAUGCUGCCAGGUACGGCAAAGAGGACGAUGAUAAUAUAUUGCGGCGGCACAAGAGAAUAAUGAUGAUAGAUGCAUCGUUCUAUUAUUUUCUCCUUAGGUUAACCAAUGGGUCAAUUGUUUGGUUAGGUUUGAUUCGGGUUAUUUUUAUUCAAAUUUUUAACGAGUGAUCAACUGCAUCUACAAUAGAUAGAACCAGGAGCAAAUCAAACUCAACCUUCCCCUCUAAAGUAACUUAUUUACUUUCACGAGUUCCAUACUUUCUGUAAUAUCAAGCAGAUUUUUUCGAAUAGGUGAUUUGCGGCCCUUCGUUCCUUUUCUUCAUGGGGGUCGCCCUAUCCAUCACCGCCUUCCCAGAACUCAAGCUCCUGACCACCGACGUCGGUCGGAUGACAAUGUCAGCCUGCACCUAAUUUGAAUAGGUGAUUUCAAAUCCAGUAUAAAGGAACGAAAAGAGACACGAAACAAGGUCUUCUACCUUCUUAACUAGUGCACCUGCAAAUGCUCCUUCUUUAGGGACAAGGAUUCGGACAAUGAACGCUUCGAAAAGGGCGUGGAUUCCGAUCGUAUAAGUCACCUGCUCCCAAGACGCCACAUUAGUGUAGUACAGACGUAGAUUUCAUCCACAGGUUCGCCACAUCGUUGCGCCAUCGAUCUGAAUACACAAAACCCAGCACGAAACCGGAUCCACAAAAGAGCACCCAGAGAGCCACAAACGGCAAGUUUCCUGUUUUUGAGAGGGCAAUGGCGAGGGCGAGUAGGAUCCAUGCAGCAACAUCGUUCUUCGUAUUUAUAAAAAGACCAUGUAUGAAUCAAUUAAUAUGAAUCGAUUUCUCUCUUCCAAACAAAGAAUAACUAAAAUUAAUGGGGAUAUAAAAGUAAACAUAAUAGUGGUGCAAUUUUGAAUUGUUUAUACUUUAAGGGUUAAAUAUUUAUAUUUUUAAUUAAUUAAAAUUCAACCAAUAAUAUUACGCCACAUGGUUUUUUGUACCGAUACCCACCGGAUAUCGAAGCGCUUACUAUAUAAUGAUUAAUUACUUUCACUUUUACAACUAUAGUGUAUGCAAUAAAAUAAUCAAAUGUUUGAGUUAUAUAAUUUUAUAUUGGUUUAUUAGUGAUUUACAUAGCUUAUAAUUUCUUGAUUUUUUGUUUUCGAUUAUGGUUAUAAGAAACCCACCCAAAAACCGAUUGAUAUGAGUACGAUAUGAAAUUUAUCACCCGAAAUAUUAUAUAUGAUUAUAAAUAUUACCCAAAAUCGAAAUUAUAACAGGUAGAAAAUGAAUAUCAACUAUCCGAACACGAACGUUAUCAUUGCAGAGGCUAAGAAUAAUAAAAAUGAUAUUGAUUUUUAUGAUUGAUCCAUGUUAAUGUAGCGGUUAUAAAAUGUACAUUUAAUAAAAACAAUUCAAAUAUUCUAAUCACAAUAAAUAUUUAAUUAUUGAUUAUAUAUUCCGUAGAAAAAGUCAUAAAGAAAAACCUUUAGUUACCAAUUUGGAGGAGAAAUACGGAAAGAAGAGCGGGAAGCAUGUGAGAGCUCGCAGCUUCUUUCCCCUUUUUUCUGACUACAAGUUACACCCAAAGCCAAGCUAUCCCGCAGCCACAGCUACCAUCAACUCCCCACUCCCUCACUGAUACAACUUCCGCCGCUUCAAUACAUGUGGCACCUUCUCUUCGGCGCCGCCGUAGCUGCUGUCGUAGGAUCCACCGGCCUUGCUGCUAAACGCCUCCUCCUCAAACACAAUGCAGACGCCGUCGCAACUCCAGGCUGUCAAGAGAAGGCUCAAACCGCUAUAUCGGACGAGACUGGAGGAGGGAGUAAUUGGAAGCGCCAAGAGAUGUUUAGGUUUUCGAGUUCGGGUAAUUCGAGCGGCAAAAAAAUCAGGAGGUUGAGGAAGAAAUUAGGGCUGUCUGGCCGUCGAUUGAAGUACGGUGAAUCUGAUGGUGAAUGCGACGUUCAGACAGAGUCGGUGGAGUCGGAGGUCAGUCGGCGGAGGAGAGCUGGCGUUUGCUUGAAGAAGAGGAGGACUACUAAGACUGUUUCAUACAAGUCCGAUUCUUCCAGGAAAGGUAUGAUUUCUGUUAUUGCAUUUUCCAUUUCGCUUGAAUCGAACAGACACCGGUAUUAGAGUGUGGUUGGAGAAUUGAAUCUAUAAUGGAAUGUCUUAAUUGGUGAUCGGGGGGAAAGACAUGCAAGAUCGCCUGGUUAGUUGAUUGCUUCACCAGUGUUCUAAUGCGUGAAUGUUUCUAGGGUCAGAAUGAAUUGAGGUCUCAUCUCUAUAGUAACUGACGCUGCGGGCAUAUUCAAGCAUAACUUUUUGACUGAUUAAGAAAACUUCCUAGUCUAUUGGAUGUCACUAUAUGGAUAUUGUUAAUGUCAUUUUCAAUUUCAGUAAAAUGUGAUGGCUAGCAACGUAGUGCUCGAGCCAUAUGUACCUACUCAACUUGCUUGGAAACGAAUGACAUCUCAAACCCAAUGUUAUUUUUUAAAUUGAUAAACUGUACAAGCCUUCAAAAUGGAGUGAUCAGUUGGUGAAUAGGGAACCGAAACCAUUGCUUGCCUUUCUGUUUUAUGAUCUACUAUGAACUUUUAUGUCUGACGAAGUGGGUUGGUUUUGCAUCUCAAGUUUGUUGAUGCUGCUGAUAGGAAUGUCUCCAACCUAAGAAUCAUAGUACAAAACAAAACUGAUUCGACCUGCUAGCUAAAUGUGUGUACUUUAUUGGUGCCAAUAACAAAUAAUGUUACCAACAUCUGUACAUUGAACCACAAGCUCGGUUCUUGAUGUUUUUCUGGAAAUGAUAAGCUCAAGUACUUCACAGUGGCACAUUUUGUUUGUCACUCUCUCUGCAGAUAGUUCUUUGUUUGGCUGGGGCCUUGGUGUAGGAAUGAUGUGCAUGAUGUCAGCUGAACAAGUUGAGAUCAAUAAGCUGAGUGCUGCAAUGGAAGAGACUUCAAAAGUGGUAAAUGAAUUGAAAAGUGAGCUUGAUAAGAAGAAGUUCAGUCAAGUUGCUGCCUGCAGGCAACUCGUUGCUGAACCAGUGGAUAAUGGCACAAGUAAUGGUAUUAGUGGUACCAGCAACACCAAAAGUUCCAGACUUAGUAUGGUGGAAGAUGUUGAAUGUCCAAGUAGCAUUCUUACCGAAGAGCCUGACAUGGGUGUGCUAGAAAUAGAUCAACUGGAAGCAGAAUUGGAGUCUGAACUCCAAAAGCUUCCACUGACAGCCAAUGUCAAUACGAAUUUUUCCAAGGUGAGCAUAAUCUAUUCCUCAUGAUUACUUGCCGUGUCUAGCAAUGAAAACUGAGGGCUUCCUUAAAGUUAUGCAGGCAAAGAUUUCAUCAUCAUCAGGAAUAAGAUAUGAGCCAAAGGAGCAUAUUGAUACCUAUUCGCAACCACAGGGAGUAGUACCAUCUGAACUGGACAAGAAACUGUGUCAUGUGCUGAUUCAGCAGCAGGGAAGUCAAAUUGUUGAGCUGGAAUCAGAACUAUACUUUGCACAAGAGAAGCUCCAGGAGAAGGAAGCUGAGCUUCGAGCUCUGAAGGAGUGCGUGAAGCGUCUCACUGAGUUCUCUCUGUCAAAUGUUUCAGGCACGUUCUCUUAAACCCAGCUGGGAAUGAAACAUUUACUAUCCUUUCUGUCCUUUUUUUUCUCUUUCUGAAAUGAUAAAUUGAUAACGUUCAAUUAUUUAUCAGAUGAGGAUGAUGAGGAGGUAGGAGAAGGGCCAGUUUGUAUGAACAAAUGGGAUGACGAACAAACCAGCUAUGGAUGUGAGUUGAAGAGUUCAGUGCUUGGCAUGAAAAGACCAGCAGCCGAUGUGGGCCGUUGAAUUGGAGUAUAAUAACUUUUAAGAAUGUAAAUUAGUAGCUAAGUGCUGAGUGGUGAACAAACGCAUAAAUGAUUUAUCAUCAUAUUCAGUUAAAAGAUAACUAUUUACCACAGCCUUUAGAUUAAUCGUGUGGGUACGAUUGCCUUCAGCAAACAAUAUUUUCAGAACCUGAACUCAGUCCACGUAUUAAGCCAUGAUAACUUCUCACACCUAUUUGAGGCUUCCACGUUGACGUCCCUCCAAAAGUUUGCAUCUCCAGAGUCACGCAAAUCCCACAUUCCUAUAUUUUCCACCGUCUUUAUUCCGUCGCCGGCUCUCUUCUCAUCCGCCUCUCUCUGCCAGCCAACCAUUCCCCCAGUCAUAGAAACAUGGCGGAAAACAACAGCAUUAACACCACAAACACCCUCAGCUCCUGCAAUAAAGAUCGCGUGGAAUCCAGCCCUCUCUUGAACAAGACAAUGGAUGAACAAGCAUCCGUCGCCAAGACCGCUGCAGCGAAAUCGGCGGUGCGUGGAUGGACGGCUAAUGGAUUGCCGUUAGGUCACGGAAACGUGGCGGGUCAGCCUAUGAACCGUGGGCAAUGGGAUUCCGGGAUCUGCGCUUGCCUUGGUCGCAACGAUGAAUUCUGCAGCAGCGAUCUUGAAGUCUGUAAGUCUUUAAUUCAUUCCUUGUAUCAAAUUUCAUUGAAUUUAUCUGCAGGAUUACCUAAAUUUCGUUUCCUUAAUCAGCUCAAGCAAUAGCUCGAUCACUUUUGUAGUUGUAUGGACAUAUUCGUUGAUUCAGUUGAUUGAUAAUGUGAAAGCAUUCUUGAUUCAAUCAAUUGUGGAAACAAGGUUGAUGAAUUGUCAUUGCGUUUGUGAUUUCUUUGUUGCAUACAUGAACAGGAUAUAUCGUAUGUUAAUCAGAGUCAUUGUUGGUUCUGUUUCUCUAUAUCUCUGUUGGGGAUGGUUUGCAGGUCUUAUUGGAAGUGUUGCACCUUGUGUGUUGCAUGGAAGCAAUGCUGAACGAUUGGGAUCCACUCCUGGAACAUUUACAAACCAUUGUUUGCCUUACACUGGCCUUUACUUGAUUGGUAAUUCCUUGUUCGGUUGGAACUGCCUUGCUCCAUGGUUUUCUUACCCUGGCCGAACUGCUAUGCGCCGCAGGUUUAAUCUCGAGGCAAGUUAUUCCAAUGCAACUUAUCAUUUGAAUGUUAUGUGCAUCUCAAUUAGUAAUUACUCAGUGUAGAAGGUUGUAAUUGAUUUGAGACUCGGUGUAGUUGUUUGAAUGCGUGGGAUUGUUCAUUUCCUGUGAUCCAUAUAUAUCUGUUUGCGUCUCACAGUAAGAAAGAACACAUGUAAAGCCUUAGGUUGAGUAGCUCCUUAUCAGAAGACACUGAUUUUCUUAUCAAAAUGUUUUGUUGUUGGGUUGGGACAGGGAAGCUGCGAGGCAGUUAAUAGGUCAUGUGGAUGCUGUGGGAGCUGCGUGGACGACGAAUUCCAGCGAGAGCAGUGUGAAACAGCAUGUGAUUUUGCUACUCAUGUAUUCUGCCACCCAUGCGCACUUUGCCAGGAAGGCCGUGAGAUUCGUCGCAGGGUGCCUCAUCCUGGCUUGAAGCCUCAGUCGAUGCUGGUUAUGCUCGCUCCUGGAGAGCAGACCAUGGGGCGUCAGGCUUGAAGUGGAUACAUUGUGCAACUAUGUCAAUUCAGUAUUGCGUUAUAGAACAUAAAGAAAAAACACCUCCCUUUCUUGUAGAAAUAUGCGUACAAAGCUGUCUUUCUUUCCGUCAUAUCAAGCAUAAUAUGUUGCAAAAUGGUAAAUACACUGUUUUGGUUGGUUAUCAUAUUAUCAAUUAAGCCGAUGAAGAUGCAUGUUGGAGAAGUUUUGAAACCUAUAUAUUGACAGUUUUUGACAUCAAAUGAGGUUCUGUAUGUUGAAUGCUUUGUGAUUCCUGAGGCAGAUUUAUGUUGGAGUAGUAAGUAGGCCAAGUUUUCCGUGUUGGAAUUGGAGGCUGAAUUGGCCUGGAAUUGUGGAAUUGGAGGCUGAAUUGGCCUUGAAUUGGACCAAAUUCCAGACAGCUGCAAAGCGACGGGACCAAUUUUACCAUAUUUGGAAGUUAAAUUCCGUCUAGCCACUGAAUUCUGUUCGGAAAGGUUCGCAAUCGCAAAUCCGCCCAAUUAAGCUUUGAAUCCAAAGCUUGAUUGGCCGGAAUUGAUAAUUAUGGUUGGAAUUGGAGCCGAAAGAUCAGAAAACGUGGCAUUAGACUCUGUUUCUAACAGUAUGGAGAAGAAGCAAAUAAUCAAAAGGAGGAAUGAAGGAUUCCCUGGAAGACUAACGAGAGGGAGAGAUAAUGUAAAAGUAACUCUAGUUUCUGACAUAAAAUAGCAUUUCUCUGAGUUUCUAACAUCCUCUUACUGAAAACCCAAACACUGGAUGGUUUUCUACUUCUCAAGCAUUAAACUGGCACUCCAAACACGAACUAUUCUCCAACUAGUAACUUAGGGACACAAAACACACACAGCAAGGGUGCUAUUCACUCUCCAGGUGCAGACACGCCUUGCUUCAGUCUUUCCCUCUUCAUCUUCUUCUUGGACACUGGCUUCUUCUUCCUAGCAGGAAGAGUCUUCUGAGCAUACAUGUACAACGCAUAAUUCCCGAUCAGGAAUGCCAGAACCAGGGUUCCUAUAACCAGCAACACUAUCAGUCCUGGGUUGAACCCUUUAGCCUCCGCGUCCUUCAUCGCCUUUCCCUAAUAGGUAUCGACAAAGGUGGUUGUCAUCAAACACACAUCACAAGAAGCUUAGGCUCAACUGAAUGUUCAAUCACGUAAUUCUGCAUAACAGCACCCAAACUUGCAAUGCAGCAAAGAAUUCCUAAAUGUCCUUCACACAGGUACAACAAUCGGUAGAAAUUGUCUAUUCACAACAACCAACAGGUAAGAAAGGUUCUAUUUUCAGCCUUUAUCCGGAGAUUCAAGGAACCGAGAGCCACACGAAGGGUUAAUAUACUUAAUAGGCGGGAAAGAAACAAACAAAGUCCUUCUAUCUUCAUUUAACACUAAGAGCUAGUUUUAAUGUCCGUAAUGAAUACACACAUAGCAUUGCACAAAGGGCCAGAUCAGUUUAAGCACAAGAAUGGCUUUCAUCCAGUCCGAAGUUGUAAUCAUACAUAACAUCAAAGCUAGAAAUAAUACUCAAUUAGCAAGCGUGCAUACCGAGAAACAUUUGCUGCAAUCCAAAGAUCAACAUACUAAUAUUAUUCGAAACUGCAUCGAUUGGUUGAUUAAAGAUUAAACAGCACAUAUGAAGAGGGUGGGGAAGCAGCAGCUAUAGCUUAGAGCAUAAUGCAUCCAAUUGGAAUUGGAUUCAUGAGCAUCAUCUGCUAGACAAUGUUCCUUUAUGUCAGGGUUUAUUAAAUAUAGUCCACAAUCCACACCAAUGCAUACCAUUAAAAAGCAAAGAAAUUAAGGACCUAAAUCCAAAAUCAAACAACCAUAAAACACACUAGACCCAGCUGGCCAAAACAAACAAGCGCAACACCAGAUCACGACCAGGAUUACAGAUCAGAACUUGAAACGAUCAAGAACACCGGAUCAAGGUCGCAAAGCCUCGAUUCACUAAGCCGGAUCCCAUCGAUCGGAUAAAAAAACCAAAUUAAAGAGAGGAAAGCAGAGAGUGUUAAAAUGUAGUAUGAAGGGAAUUGAUACCAUGCGCUCAAAUGAGGGAGUGGACUGAUCGGCGAACUCGGAAUCGUCGGACAUCGUUAAUCGAGUUGGAUCGGCGGUGAAUUGGCCGAGGAGAAACUAAGAUUGCUCAGACAGAGAGAAGGGAGAGAGGAUAGACUUCAAAACUGAAACCAACUAAAAUCUCUCACACCGAGAAGGAAACAGAGAAACAGUAGGCGUUGUUAAAAGUGGUUUGGUGACAUUUUUACCGAUUCCGAUUGGUCCUACGGGGUUUCAGAAUCGUCUGUUUUACUCCAAUUUUCCCCCGUUAAUUAUAUGGGCUUUGAAAGAUGUACUCGACCCAAUUGAAGACGAUGAACGAGGACCAAAUUCUGCAAGGGGCUCGUGGAUUCGUGGGACCUCAACUUGGAAAAUCCAGUCCGGUCCAGUCCCAAUGUGUCAUUUUUGUUAACCUUAGACGGUUUCGAAAAGAUGAGAAUAUAGAAAGCAGUAAAAUCUAAAUAUCAAUUUAAGGUGUGAAGACUAUCGAUAAUAUUUUGAGGGAUAUCUAAGAGUGAAAAAUAUCAUAAAAUAGGCUGUUCUGUUAGCUGCGCUGAACAGUCCUCAAGUGGAAACCAGAAAAGAUGAAGAGGAGCGCCAUAAUCUCACACACAAUAGAGCCUCCCGAGCUAAUAACCACCUACCCUUCACGAACGUGAGUGACAACGAGCUCAACAUCCCUUCAAGGUCAACUGCAAAAAAUUCGAACGUAAACACUAAAGGUAGGCAUCCCGAACAACAAGUAGAAGGAGAUAAAAAAUAUCGGGAUAAGGGGUGGUGCAAACGGUGGGGUGAACCCAAUAUGCCUCAUUAUCAAGUAAAUCAUGUUCGUCGAAAAUAGAAAAGAGACAACAUAUGAUAAAAUUAUUUUUAUCAAAGUUGGAUGAGGUAAGGAUGACCGUAGAAAAAAAAAGAAAAAUAAAUAUAGCACAUAUGUCUAUUUAUAAAAAGACAAGAUUUAAAUACGAUAUUUUUGACUCAUCGAAAUAAAAUACUACCGAUUGAACUACUUAACAAAAAGAAUCGAUAAUAAUUUUGUUUACUCAUUUUAGUUCCACAAAAUAUAAUGAAGAAUGGUGACCUGAACCAACUGUAAAAAUUGUAGAAAAAUGAAAUAUUUUUAAAGUCAACCACCCUUGUGUUUUUAUGGAGUGUGAACUUGAUUACUUUUUACAAUUAUCGGAAACAACAAGCCAACGUGUAAAUUCCUUAUGGUUACAUUACAAUAGUUGGGCCGUAACUAUGGGCGAAAUAAUCACUACCAAGCUUACUUAGACACGACCCUUGAAUAUUAUUCUUACAACAACACCAACUCCAUUUCCAACCACACUUCCCCAUUAGAAGCCCUUAAGGCCCGUAUUCUCUUAACUGACAUUCACAUACCGGCAAUCCUUUCUCACCUCUCCAUCACUGCCCGUGACCGGAUUGUUCUCCGACAGCAAAACCACCGCUCUAGCGAACUGCUCGUGGAAGUAGUCAUUAUCAGCAGCCAUCCUCCCCACAAACGGUGCCGUACGAGGAUCAGUAGCCAGCUGUUGGUCCACGGAGAGCAGCCCCUUGUUCUUCAGCAGGCCCUUGUAGUACAUAUUGUCCAGAAUCAUCGGCGUCUCACGGUCGUUCCUUGAGUACAAGACCGCAUUUGGGUCCGGGUUGGGGCUCGGGCAACGGGCCUUUAGGUAGCUAGCGUAGACCGGGUCCAGAGCCGGGUCCACGGCGGGAUAGAGUCGGCCCACCAAGUUGACGCAGUGGACCCGGCCCACCGAGUGGGCCCCCAAGAGAGCGACGGUGCCUUCUACGUCGAUGCCCAUGGAUUGAAAUCGGGUGAGUACGGCAGAGAUAGAGUCGUUGUGGUUUGGGAUGGAGCUUUCUACUUCUGCUAAGUAGCUCUGCUUGCUGUCCUUUCGCCCUGUUUUCAGCUCCAUUCUAGGGCCUCCUAGCUGUAAUUACGGUAAAAAUUGAUAUAUAUUUUCGUAAGGUAACAUUUGUGCGUGAUAAACAAAAUUGGUGAGAUAUUAGACUUUUUCUUUUUACCAUAACAAUCCCGUCACGGGCAGAGAGAGCGACGAUGUCGGCGCAGGAAACGGUGGAAGGGCACUCGGCCUCGAGAGCGUGUUUGAUGGUGGUGACGUAUUUGAAAUUCCUCAUACCAAAGCUCCUGCCGGAGUUCUUCUCCGAUUGGAUUCCAUUCACCGAUUCGAGUAACAGAGAAGCGUCGCAAGACUGCUCAAUCGAUCAAAUUGAUCAAAUUAUGGAACAUGUUAAUUAGCGUAGAAUAGAAUUUCCAAUUCAAAGGAGCAUGUAACAAUUAAUUAAAUGAUGGCAUGUAGGUAGGUACCUUGACGACGCAGUCGUGGAAGAGGUUGCGGAGCCAAGAGACGGCGGUGUUUCCAUGUUGAUGGUAAAGCUUGAUGACUUGCUCUUUCACGAUGGCUUCAGCUCUUGGGCAGCUCUGUUCGUAGUAGUUCGACUGGAGCUGGCUU